GCUGGGCAUGGCGGCUCAUGCCUGUAAUCCCAGCACCGUUGGAGGCAGAGGCAGGUGGAUCACCUGAGGUCGGGAGUUCAAAACCAGCCUGACCAACAUGGAGAAACCCUGUCUCUA
ensembl:misc_RNA Metazoa_SRP Metazoan signal recognition particle RNA